rnacentral:rRNA from 1 species
AUACGUAGGUGGCGAGCGUUGUCCGGAAUUACUGGGCGUAAAGGGCGCGUAGGCGGUUCUUUAAGUUAGAUGUGAAAACCCGAGGCUUAACUUCGGGACUGCAUUUAAAACUGGAGGGCUUGAGUGCAGGAGAGGUAAGUGGAAUUCCUAGUGUAGCGGUGAAAUGCGUAGAUAUUAGGAGGAACACCAGUGGCGAAGGCGACUUACUGGACUGUAACUGACGCUGAGGCGCGAAAGCGUGGGGAGCAAACAGGAUUAGAUACCCUGGUAGUCCACGCUGUAAACGAUGGAUACUAGGUGUGGGAGGUAUCGACCCCUUCCGUGCCGCAGUUAACGCAAUAAGUAUCCCGCCUGGGGAGUACGGCCGCAAGGUUGAA